rnacentral:rRNA from 1 species
AUACAGAGGGUGCAAGCGUUAAUCGGAUUUACUGGGCGUAAAGCGCGCGUAGGUGGCUAAUUAAGUCAAAUGUGAAAUCCCCGAGCUUAACUUGGGAAUUGCAUUCGAUACUGGUUAGCUAGAGUAUGGGAGAGGAUGGUAGAAUUCCAGGUGUAGCGGUGAAAUGCGUAGAGAUCUGGAGGAAUACCGAUGGCGAAGGCAGCCAUCUGGCCAAAUACUGACACUGAGGUGCGAAAGCAUGGGGAGCAAACAGAAUUAGAUACCCGGGUAGUCCAUGCCGUAAACGAUGUCUACUAGCCGUUGGGGCCCUUGAGGCUUUAGUGGCGCAGCUAACGCGAUAAGUAGACCGCCUGGGGAGUACGGUCGCAAGACUAAAACUCAAAUGAAUUGACGGGG